CUCCACUAAUUCAUUAGUUCAUUCCAUACAUACAUAUACCCAUGCAUGCAUGCAUCCAUCCACUCACACAUACAUACAUACAUACAUACAUACAUACAUACAUACAUCUAUUCAUCCAUCCAUCCAUAUACCUACAUACCCAUCCAUCCAUUUAUUCAUCCAACAGCCCACCCAUCCACCCACGUCCCCACACAUACUUAUAUACACACACACAUCCUUCCAUCCAUCCAUUCAUCCAUCCUUACACCCACCCACCUAUGGAUCCACCCAUCCAUCCAUACAUACAUACAUACACCCAUGCAUACAUGUAUCCAUGCAUCUAACCAUCCAUCCAUCUAUCCACACAGCAACAUACAUAUAUAUACACACGCAUCCAUCUGUCCAUAUACCCACACAUACAUACAUACAUACAUACAUACAUACAUACACUCCCAUACACAUGCAUCCACCCACCCAUCUAUCCAUCCAUCCAUCCAUAUGAUCAAUAAGAAUGUCGCAGAAGUGCCUUCUCCAUGCUCCUCUAUACACUGAAACACAGAUAUAAGAGUGAAAAUCACACAGACUCAAGCCCCGUGGG
rnacentral:lncRNA from 1 species